UUGAUCUCAAAUCAGGUAGGACUACCCGCUGAACUUAAGCAUAUCAAUAAGCGA
rnacentral:rRNA from 1 species